rnacentral:rRNA from 1 species
AUUGAACGCUGGCGGCAGGCUUAACACAUGCAAGUCGAGCGAGCGGCGGACGGGUGAGUAAUGUCUGGGAAACUGCCUGAUGGAGGGGGAUAACUACUGGAAACGGUAGCUAAUACCGCAUACCAUCAGAUGUGCACAGAUGGGAUUAGCUAGGAGGUGGGGUAAUGGCGAACCUAGGCGACGAUCCCAAGCUGGUCUGAGAGGAUGACCAUCCACACUGGACUAGAGACACGGGCCAGACACCGACGGGAGGCAGCAGUGGGGAAUAUUGCACAAUGGGCGCAAGCCUGAUGCAGCCAUGCCGCGUGUGUGAAUAAGGCCUUCGGGUUGUAAAGCACUUUCAGCGAGGAUGCGUUACUCGCAGAAGAAGCACCGGCUAACUCCGUGCCAGCAGCCGCGGUAAUUC